rnacentral:rRNA from 1 species
AUUGAACGCUGGCGGCAGGCUUAACACAUGCAAGUCGAGCGGUAGCACAGGGGAGCUUGCUCCCUGGGUGACGAGCGGCGGACGGGUGAGUAAUGUCUGGGAAACUGCCUGAUGGAGGGGGAUAACUACUGGAAACGGUAGCUAAUACCGCAUAACGUCGCAAGACCAAAGAGGGGGACCUUCGGGCCUCUUGCCAUCAGAUGUGCCCAGAUGGGAUUAACUAGUAGGUGGGGUAAUGGCUCACCUAGGCGACGAUCCCUAGCUGGUCUGAGAGGAUGACCAGCCACACUGGAACUGAGACACGGUCCAGACUCCUACGGGAGGCAGCAGUGGGGAAUAUUGCACAAUGGGCGCAAGCCUGAUGCAGCCAUGCCGCGUGUGUGAAGAAGGCCUUCGGGUUGUAAAGCACUUUCAGCGAGGAGGAAGGUGGUGAGCUUAAUACGUUCAUCAAUUGACGUUACUCGCAGAAGAAGCACCGGCUAACCCCGUG